rnacentral:rRNA from 1 species
GACGAAGGGGGCUAGCGUUGUUCGGAAUUACUGGGCGUAAAGCGAGUGUAGGUGGUUGUCCAAGUUGGAUGUGAAAGCCUUGAGCUCAACUCAAGAAAUGCAUUCAGGACUGGGCGGCUAGAGGACCGGAGAGGAUAGUGGAAUUCCCAGUGUAGUGGUGAAAUACGUAGAGAUUGGGAAGAACACCAGUGGCGAAGGCGGCUAUCUGGACCGACAUUGACGCUGAGGCGCGAAAGCGUGGGGAGCAAACAGG